AAUGGGGGAAACCCUGACGCAGCGACGCCGUGUGAGGGAAGAAGGCUUUCGGGUCGUAAACCUCUGUCAGGAAGGAAGAACCUCUCAAGGCUGAACAAGUCUUGGGACUGACGGUACUUCCAGAGGAAGCACCGGCUAACUCCGUGCCAGCAGCCGCGGUAAUACGGAGGGUGCAAGCGUUAAUCGGAAUCACUGGGCGUAAAGCGCGCGUAGGCCGUCUUUUAAGUCGGACGUGAAAGCCCUCGGCUCAACCGGGGAACUGCGUUCGAUACUGGGAGACUUGAGUCCUGGAGAGGGUGGCGGAAUUCCGGGUGUAGGAGUGAAAUCCGUAGAUAUCCGGAGGAACACCGGUGGCGAAGGCGGCCACCUGGACAGGUACUGACGCUGAGGCGCGAAAGCGUGGGGAGCAAA
rnacentral:rRNA from 1 species